AGAUCACAGAGUUGGUAUCUUUGCUAAUGAAAGAAUUUGCGCUGGAGAAGAACUCUUUUAUGAUUAUCGUUAUGAGCCAGACAGUGCACCUGCCUGGGCGAGGAAGCCCGAGGCAUCUGGUACUAGGAAAGAGGAUGCUGCUCCUUCAAGUGGUCGUGCUAGGAAGCAUACAUAAUUGAGUGCCCAUUUAACUGAUUUUUUGAUCCGUUAAUUCUCAUUCUUUUGCGCAACUCAUCAUUGACGACCACCAGAUAGAGCUUCUAAUCAUUCCAUUCCUGGAGAGGCCAUUGCAAUCUCCAUUUAACU
rnacentral:misc_RNA from 1 species